AAAUCAAUUCUCCCAGUCCUCUUCUCCUUCUCCUUGCUCGUUGGUUGCUUUCCCAAACUGUUUUCGCUGCGUGCUCCUCUGCUUCACGCCAUCCUGUCAUGGCCCGUGUCCCGCUUUGUCCCGUCUUCACUGCCCUGCCUCGCACCGGCAGGCUGUCGCCACCCUCCCUCGUGCCGUUGGGCUAUCGAUGCCUUGCCUCACGUCGUCUAAGAGGCCAACAAGAGUGGUAACAACUGGUUACCUCUACCAUGGGCAAUUGUUGCCUUGCUUAUUCUGGGAUUUAACGAGUUUAUGAUACUUCUAAACUAGCUGGACUCAUAUCCUAUCUAUCAAGCUUCUUCCAACUAUAAUGAACCUUAUGAGAAAGCUAGCAAAGGAGGGGUUCCUCAAACUAACAAUCCUUUGCCAUAUUUAUCAACAAGUAAUCAAACUGUUGGUAGCACUGUGUCAUCUACUGCUUCAUCGAAGGUAACUUUUUUGGAACAUGGAACCGAGUGCACCGCUUCAUCAAAAGAAGAAUAGGAAAAGAAACUCAUCUUUAUGGCAGUGCCAAAUCUUAUGUUGAGGUGUGAUAGCAAUCCAAUACUGGUUUGUGGCAAUUCAAAUAUUCAAUGCAUUAAUAAGCAUGAGUAUUUAUGCAAAUGCAACAUACAAUUUUUUUAUUUUAUUUUU